rnacentral:rRNA from 1 species
GAUGAACGCUGGCGGCGUGCCUAAUACAUGCAAGUCGAGCGAACAGACGAGGAGCUUGCUCCUCUGACGUUAGCGGCGGACGGGUGAGUAACACGUGGAUAACCUACCUAUAAGACUGGGAUAACUUCGGGAAACCGGAGCUAAUACCGGAUAAUAUAUUGAACCGCAUGGUUCAAUAGUGAAAGACGGUUUUGCUGUCACUUAUAGAUUGAUCCGCGCCGCAUUAGCUAGUUGGUAAGGUAACGGCUUACCAAGGCAACGAUGCGUAGCCGACCUGAGAGGGUGAUCGGCCACACUGGAACUGAGACACGGUCCAGACUCCUACGGGAGGCAGCAGUAGGGAAUCUUCCGAAAUGGGCGAAAGCCUGACGGAGCAGCGCCGCGUGAGUGAUGAAGGUCUUCGGAUCGUAAAACUCUGUUAUUAGGGAAGAACAAAUGUGUAAGUAACUAUGCACGUCUUGACGGUACCUAAUCAGAAAGCCACGGCUAACUACGUG